UUCGACCUGACCCAUUUAAUUGCUUUUAUUUAUAUGGAGAGACUCGACCCAUAUAAUGGAAACCCAGCAAAGUUGACCCAUAAAAGUCUAAGGAGAGACUCAUAAAAGUCUAAGGAGAGACUCGACCCAAUAAUGGAAACCCAGCGAAGUUGGUGAAGAUGCACCGUUUCCAACAACACCACCUUUCCAUAGAACUUCAACCAAAAAAAAAAAAAAAAAAAAAAUCAAUAGAAGCAGCCUUUGUGGAAGCUAUAAACCAUUGUAAGCUCAUAACAAAAAGGACCCAUUACAACCCAUCGCGGCUAUCAUCGAUUAUGACGGUGGAAGAUCAAAUAUGGAAGAUUCCACCAAAUAUGGAAGCACAAAAGAACAAUUUCCAUGGAAGUUGUAAAGGAGUCCAACAAGACAAUGGAAAUCGGCCAUGGUGAGAACCAACAACCUACGAUAAAAGGAGCAAAUCUAGCUCUCAAAACAUCAAGAAAGUGAAAACCAACGCAGUUUAGCAGAGUACUAGUUUAAUUGAAGCCGAUGAAAGAUCAGAGCAAUCCAACAGUAGCGAACGUCGUAAGCGUCCACCAGAUAAUCAACCCAUGGUCGCCGAAGAAGAAAAGACUUUAGGCAGAUUCAAUGAUAGAGCUAAAGGUAGAGCUCAUUCAAGGAACCACCUGCAUGCAAACCAAAAAGAUCAAAGAAAAAUAUAGAAAGACUGCGAAAAACAUGUCUAUAACAUUCUUCCAAUACUAACACUAAAACUGUUUGUCAAUAAAGCUAAAGAAAAAGCAAACAAAAGAAAUAGAAAAAUACUUCAACAAAAGAAAUAGAAAAAUACUUCGAGUUGGGGGAGAAAAACCAACUCUCCAACCAAUAACAGUAGAGCUCCCCUCUGCUUGAAGGGAGCAGAGGGGCCAAAGAAAUUGGUAGAGAAAGGGAGAGUCUCUCAAAACCCAAAGAAGAAGAAAUUGGGAGAA
rnacentral:lncRNA from 1 species